rnacentral:lncRNA from 1 species
UGGUAUUCAGAGACGUAGAGUGGCACAGCUCCUCAGACUGCACGUUUUCCCUGAGCUCUCUACUGGAAAACAUUUCUAUAAAACAUAAGAUGGCAAAGAGGUGGAAGAAAAAUUAAUGCCAGCAGUUCAGCUUUGACUAAAUAUAAGCUUACCAAAGUCAGCAACAAUAUGCUACACAGCUGCUUUGCUCAAAGCAAGAGCUGUCUCUGACAAAUCGCCAGUACCUACUGCAACAUCUUUUCUCCCUACACAGCGACUCCAGCUUGGGAGGGCAGGGCCAGGGUUGUCACAGCUUCCCCUGUGGUGUCUGCCUGCCAAGCACAGCUCUGGAGUUAGCCCUGGGUGUGAGAUUCUCUCCUGAGGCUGCAUCUCGGCGGGGGCUGAGCACAGCAGAGAUGAAUGCAGUAGAGGCCAUUCAUAGAGCUGUGGAAUUCAAUCCUCAUGUGCCAAAAUAUCUACAUGCUGUAUUACGUAAUUAUCAUCUUCUCUGAGGGAGGAAAAAAAGUAGCUGAGAGCCACUUUCAGUCCCGCUAUUAAGUACAUUUUGGCCUCUAAGAAACUUCGUGUGGUUCACCUCAGGCUAGGUGGAAAUAGAGGCUGCCUAGAAACAUGCAUUAACAGGUGCUUCUUGGGCCACCCUAGCCUGAAGAAGGACAACCAGAGAGUAUAACAGUGGCACCUCAAUGCCUUGGCCUUGAGGACCCUCAGUGUCCCUUCAGGCCUCCAGAUUUGAGGGGAGGCUCUAGCAUGUUCUGGCUGCAGCUAUUGUCUUCAGGGAUUCUGCAGCUUGUAGCUGGGGUACUUCUACCAAUUGGAGCUGGGCUGUUGGAGUCAUCUCCACUGCCUACCACCAGGACAAGCAGAGAAGUUACCUACUAGAAAUGAAAAGCUUAAUCCUACCCCCAGAACAUAUCCUGAAGAGAGGAGACAGUGAAGCAAUAGCAUAUGCAUUCUUUCAUCUUGCACACUGGAAGAGAGUGGAAGGGGCUUUGAAUCUUUUGCAUUGUACGUGGGAAGGCA